rnacentral:tRNA from 1 species
AUUGUUAGCUCAGUUGGUAGAGCAACUGACUCUUAAUCAGUGGGUCUAGGGUUCGAGUCCCU